AGAGUUUGAUCAUGGCUCAGAAUCAACGCUGGCGGCGCGCCUAACACAUGCAAGUCGAACGAGAAAGCCCGCAAGGGUGAGUACAGUGGCGUACGGGUGAGUAACACGUGGAUAAUCUACCCUCUUGUGGGGAAUACCGCUGGGAAACCGGCGACAAUACCGCAUAAGCUCGAGAGAGGAAAGCAGAAAUGCGCAGGAGGAGGAGUCCGCGGCUGAUUAGCUAGUUGGUGAGGUAAUGGCUCACCAAGGCUGAGAUCAGUAGCCGGCCUGAGAGGGCACACGGCCACACUGGCACUGAAACACGGGCCAGACUCCUACGGGAGGCAGCAGUGGGGAAUCUUGCACAAUGGGGGAAACCCUGAUGCAGCGACGCCGCGUGAGCGAUGAAGCCCUUCGGGGUGUAAAGCUCUUUCGGCAGGGAAGAUUAUGACGGUACCUGCAGAAGCAGCUGCGGCUAACUACGUGCCAGCAGCCGCGGUAAUACGUAGGCAGCAAGCGUUGUUCGGAGUUACUGGGCGUAAAGGGUGUGUAGGCGGUUGGAUAAGUGUGGUGUGAAAUCUCCCGGCUUAACUGGGAGGGUGCGCUACAAACUGUCUGACUAGAGUGUGGGAUGGGAGAGUGGAAUUCCUGGUGUAGCGGUGAAAUGCGUAGAUAUCAGGAGGAACACCGGUGGUGUAGACGGCUCUCUGGACCAUAACUGACGCUGAGACACGAAAGCGUGGGUAGCAAACAGGAUUAGAUACCCUGGUAGUCCACGCCCUAAACGAUGCAUAUUUGGUGUGGGUCAUUCAUUUGAUCCGUGCCGGAGCUAACGCGUUAAAUAUGCCGCCUGGGGAGUACAGUCGCAAGGCUGAAACUCAAAGGAAUUGACGGGGGCCCGCACAAGCGGUGGAGCAUGUGGUUCAAUUCGACGCAACGCGAAGAACCUUACCUAGGCUCGAACGGCUUUGGACAAUCCUCAGAAACGAGGACUUCCCGCAAGGGACCGGAGUCGA
rnacentral:rRNA from 1 species